rnacentral:rRNA from 1 species
AACGAACGCUGGCGGCGUGCCUAAUACAUGCAAGUCGAACGAGGAAGUCGGGGCUUGCGGUGCUGGGUGGGUUAAGGAGUGGGGAGUAACGCGUAGGUACGCUGCCAGUUAGCGAAGGGUAACUAUUGGAAGAGAAAGCUCUUAGGGCAUAAGAGUAGAUGCUGCUUGACAGUUACUUGAAAGGUGCGAUUGUAUGACUAGCAAAUGCACCUGAGUUGUAUUAGCUAGUGGGGGGGGUAACGGAUGACCAAGGCGACGAGGCAUAGCCGACCUGAGAGGGUGAGAGGCCACACUGGGACUGAGACACGGCCCAGACUCCUACGGGAGGCAGCAGUAGGGAAUCUUCGGCAAUGGACGGAAGUCUGACCGAGCAACGCCGCGUGAGUGAAGAAGGUUUUCGGAUCGUAAAGCUCUGUUGUAAGAGAAGAACGAGUGUGAGAGUGGAAAGUUCACACUGUGACGGUAUCUUACCAGAAAGGGACGGCUAACUACGUG